CCACGCCUCUUCCACCAUUCAACCAAGGAGACCGCUGUUCUUCAGCGCUGGAAGUGUGUUUCAUUACUGACCAUGUAUUGUAUACAAUAAGUGUAGUAGUGUGUGUGUAUAUAUAUAUAUUCUCGGAAUCUGUUUAAACUUCUGAAAUAAGAAAAUUACCAGGAUUUGUUCUACGUAAUUAUCUGUUCAUUUGUUGUCGUAAUCAUCGUAGAUUACACGAUCUUUCUUCGAAAUCGCUGCGCACAGAUUGUCAAAGCCUGUCGACGACUUACGGUACUUUAUGUAAUUAUUAUAUAUAUAUAUUUGUGAAAACAUUAUAUUGCAUUGCGUGGCGGUAGAAAAUUUCAUCUCCUCCGCAACACCCUCAGCCAUCUGCGGUGGAGGAGCUACUUGGUCCUGGCGGCUGAGACGCAGGUUCAUAAGAUUCCGUCUGGGCCAGUAUAAGGCGCUUUCUGGGUGGAAUCUAGGACGGUCCCAGAUAGCAGACUGGUUGGGAAUGAAGAUGGAGAAUAGCAUGAUGUCCUCUUCUUCAGGUUCUUGGAUUGGAUCGCUUUCUUGUUCUGGCCCGGAGGAGGACGUGUCUGUUUCGUUGGCAAUCAGAUGGCUGAGAUUCAUCUUCCUUUCUCCAUGUCCUCAGAGAACUCUGUUGUCUGCCGUUGAUAUCCUGUUCCUUCUUACUCUAGUUGUCUUUGCAAUCCAGAAGCUCUAUUCUAAGUUCAGUUCUGAUAGGCAGCAAUCCAAUGGAUCGAGCAAUGGGAUUGAAAAGCCUCUCAUCGAAAGCCAAAGAGUUCGAGUUCAAACGGAUGUUUGGUUUAAGUUAUCCCUAAUUCUUUCGGCUAUUCUAGGAAUUGCUUCUCUAGCGUUAUGCAUUUUCACAUUUAGCAGGAGUAGCUCAUCUUCAUGGUAUGUCGUAGAUGGGCUAUUUUGGCUGUUUCAAGCAAUAACUCAUUUAGUCAUCACUGUUCUAAUCGGUCAUGAGAAAAAAUUCCAAGCUGUAACUCAUCCGAUGACCCUUCGUCUGUUCUGGAUUGCAGACUUUAUUGUAAUUACCUUGUUCUUAGGCUCGGGGAUUACUCGUGUAGUCUCAGGACAAGAAAGUGAUCCUAAUUUGAUGUUGGAUGAUAUAAGUUCAUUCGUGGCGUUUCCCAUUUCACUCGUUCUUCUGAUUGUUGCUGUGAAAGGAUCAACUGGAAUAACAGUGACAAGGGAUUCUGAAUCAGAAGGGGAUGAUGAGGGGCAAGAAUAUGAAACUGUUCUGGGGAAAUCCAAUGUGACUGGCUAUGCUUCGGCCUCGCUCCUAUCCAGAACGUUUUGGAUUUGGAUGAACCCGUUGUUGAGGAAGGGCUACAAGGCACCGCUAAAGCUCGAUGAUGUUCCUACACUUUCACCCGAGCAUCGAGCCGAGAGAAUGUCAGAGCUUUUCGAGAGGAAUUGGCCUAAACCCGAGGAGAACUCGAAGCAUCCUGUCAGAACCACAUUGCUUCGUUGCUUCUGGAAAGAAGUUUUACUCACCGCUACCCUUGCAAUCGUAAGGCUGUGUGUGAUGUACGUCGGGCCAUUGCUCAUCCAGAGGUUCGUUGAUUACACGUCGGGGAAGAGGACAUCUCCUUACGAAGGAUACUACCUCGUUGGCACCCUCAUGGUUGCCAAAUUCGUCGAAGUUUUGACCUCUCAUCACUUCAAUUUCAAUUCCCAGAAGCUCGGGAUGCUCAUCCGGUCCACACUCAUCACCUCGUUAUACAAGAAGGGCUUGAGACUCACCUGCUCGGCUAGACAGGAUCACGGGGUCGGGCAGAUAGUAAACUACAUGGCGGUCGAUGCUCAGCAAUUGUCCGAUAUGAUGCUGCAGCUCCACGCUGUAUGGCUUAUGCCCGUGCAAGUUUCCAUAGCUUUAGCCAUCCUAUAUCUUAACCUCGGAGCCUCAACAGUCGUAACGCUGGUUGGACUUGUUGCGGUUUUGCUAUUCGUCGUGCUUGGCACUCGAAGGAACAACAGGUUCCAGUUCAAUAUCAUGAAGAACCGCGAUUCGAGAAUGAAGGCGACGAAUGAGAUGCUUAAUUACAUGCGUGUCAUAAAGUUCCAGGCCUGGGAAGAUCAUUUCAACGAGAGAAUACAAUCGUUCCGGGAUAUAGAAUAUGGGUGGCUAUCUAAGUUUAUGUAUUCGAUUGCUGGGAAUUUGAUCGUUCUGUGGAGCACUCCAUUGCUCGUGGCUACACUCACAUUCGGAAGCGCGAUUUUGAUGGGGAUUCCACUCGAUGCUGGGACAGUAUUUACAGCAACUGCGCUCUUUAAGAUGCUGCAGGAGCCUAUCAGGUCCUUUCCACAAUCCAUGAUCUCUCUUUCACAGGCGAUGAUAUCUCUCGAGAGAUUAGAUAAAUAUAUGAUCAGUAAGGAGUUGGCUGACAAGUCGGUGGAAAGAGGGGAAGGCUGUGGGGAUGGAAUUGCGGUGGAAGUGAAAGAUGGCACUUUUAGUUGGGACGAUGAACGAGGCGAAAAAGUACUGAAAGAUGUAAAUUUCGAAGUUAAGAAAGGCGAACUUACAGCUGUAGUUGGGACGGUUGGAUCUGGGAAAUCAUCUCUUCUAGCAUCAGUUCUUGGCGAGAUGCACAAGCUCUCAGGGAAGGUAAGAGUUUGUGGUUCAACUGCCUAUGUUGCGCAAACAUCAUGGAUUCAGAACGGGACCAUACAAGAGAACAUCCUAUUUGGUUCACCAAUGAAUCGCCCGAGAUACGAGGAAGUCAUCAAGGUUUGCUGCCUGGAAAAAGAUCUCGAGAUGAUGGAGUACGGAGAUCAGACCGAAAUUGGAGAGCGUGGUAUUAACCUCAGUGGUGGCCAGAAACAGCGAAUUCAACUUGCAAGAGCUGUAUAUCAGGAUUGCGACAUUUACCUGCUCGAUGAUGUCUUCAGUGCUGUUGAUGCUCACACUGGUUCCGAAAUCUUCAAGGAAUGUGUAAAGGGCGCCCUUAAAAAUAAGACGACUAUACUGGUUACACAUCAAAUCGACUUCUUGCAUAACGUUGAUCUUAUCCUCGUGAUGAGAGACGGGAUGAUUGUGCAAUCGGGAAAAUAUAACGAUCUGCUAGAAUCCGGCCUGGAUUUCAAGUCACUAGUAGCUGCUCACGAGUCGUCCCUAGAACUAGUUGACGUUGAAACCACUUCGGGCAGCAAAGAUUCACCUGGGAUGGAAAAAACGAGACAAAGGUCAUUUAAACAAGGCGAUGAAAACGAGGAUGUAGCUCAGCAGCAAUCCGAGGGUGGCACGGGAGGUUCUAAGCUGAUAAAGGAAGAGGAACGAGAGACGGGAACUGUCGGUUUCCAUGUUUACAAAUUAUAUUGCACCGAGGCUUUUGGAUGGUGGGGUGUAGUGGGAGUUGUGUUUUUAUCAUUGUUUUGGCAAGGGACUCAAAUGGCAAGCGAUUAUUGGUUGGCUUAUGAAACCUCUGAGGAACGCUCGUUCAAUCCUUCUUUGUUUCUUGAGGUAUAUGGUAUCAUUGCGGUUGUGUCUGGUUUGGUGGUAGUUGUGAGAAUGUACUCCAUCACGCUUAUGGGGCUCAAGACUGCUCAAAUAUUCUUCGGGCAAAUUCUCUACAGCAUACUGCACGCUCCAAUGUCGUUCUUCGAUACCACACCUUCCGGAAGAAUUCUCAGUCGGGCUUCGAAUGAUCAGACCAACAUCGAUGUUUUCCUCCCGUUCUUUAUGAAUCUCACUUUGGCCUUUUACAUCACACUCAUUGGCAUCAUCAUCAUGACAUGCCAAUAUACUUGGCCGACUGUCGUACUUCUGAUUCCUCUCGGUUGGCUAAACUUCUGGUGCCGGGGAUACUUUCUUGCGACCUCCCGGGAAUUGACCAGGCUAGAUUCGAUUACGAAGGCACCCGUUAUCCAUCACUUCUCUGAAAGCAUUGCGGGCGUUAUGACCAUUCGUUGCUUCAGGAAGCAGGAAGGGUUUUCUCAAGAAAAUGUCACUCGGGUUAAUGAGAACUUGCGUAUGGAUUUCCACAAUAACGGGUCCAAUGAAUGGCUAGGGUGCCGGUUAGAAAUGAUUGGAAGCUUCAUACUUUGCAUCUCUGCAAUGUUCAUGAUUGUUUUGCCCAGCAGUAUCAUCAAGCCAGAAAAUGUUGGGUUAUCUCUGUCGUAUGGAUUGUCCCUCAACGCCUCGCUGUUCUGGACUAUAUUCAUAAGCUGCUUCGUGGAAAAUAAAAUGGUUUCGGUUGAGAGGAUCAAGCAGUUCACCAACAUACCAUCAGAGGCAGAAUGGAGAAAGAAAGAUCUUCUUCCCCCUCCAAACUGGCCCUCCAAGGGAAACGUUGAGCUCGAAAACUUGCAGGUGAGAUACCGCCCGAACACCCCUUUGGUUCUGAAAGGCAUUACUCUCAGCAUUGAAGGGGGCGAGAAGAUAGGUGUUGUGGGGCGAACCGGGGGUGGAAAAUCCACUCUGAUCCAAGUGUUCUUCAGGCUGGUGGAGCCUGCAGCCGGAAGAAUAGUCAUUGAUGACAUUGACAUUUCCGUUUUAGGCCUUCAUGAUCUUCGUUCCCGCUUUGGAAUCAUUCCUCAGGAGCCCGUUCUUUUCGAAGGAACCGUGAGGAGCAACAUAGACCCCAUUGGACAGUACUCAGAUGAAGAUAUCUGGAAGAGCCUCGAACGGUGCCAGCUUAAAGACGUCGUGGCCUCAAAACCCGAGAAACUCAACUCUCCAGUUGUUGACAAUGGAGAUAACUGGAGCGUCGGGCAAAGGCAACUUCUUUGCUUGGGAAGAGUAAUGCUAAAACGAAGCCGGCUUCUGUUCAUGGAUGAGGCUACGGCUUCCGUGGAUUCACAGACGGAUGGCGUGAUUCAGAGGAUCAUCCGGGAGGACUUCGCUUCCUGCACAAUAAUCAGCAUUGCUCACAGAAUACCAACCGUCAUGGAUUGCAACCGAGUUCUGGUUAUAGAUGCAGGAAGAGCCAAGGAAUUCGACAGGCCAUCGCGGUUGCUGGAGAGGCCAUCGCUCUUCGGGGCUUUAGUUCAGGAGUAUGCUAACAGAUCAUCUGAACUGUAGAUCAGCUAUGAUGGGAGACAAUUUUCUUCUGCUAAAAUGACAAUAACUCCCCAAGAGCCUCUCGGGCAGGAGUAUCGAAUCUUAGUUGUAGAAUUAUGUUGGAAUCUUGGAUUGAUACCUAGGACGAUGCAUGGGAUUUAUGAUGUUCUGGCAAAUGCAUAUGGUAUGUAGCAUAGUGUGUACAACUGCUUCUUGUUGCAGAAGUGGAGAAAACAGAAUCCACAUAUUUAUUGUAUGGAGUAUUAUGUCUACAUUUGGAUA